GUGGCCCCCCGCGCCGCAGCCGGCAUCGCGGCGGGACCCGGAGCCCGGAGUUCGGGUGGGUAACCCGAGCUCUCCAAGCUCUUGAAGCCGCGAGGGUGGCUUAGCUUCGGUGUUUUGGCUGAGAACACCCUUAAAGCUUAAAAUAAAACCUGCCUCUGGGGUGCAGGGGAGGAGAGAGGAGGACGCGAAUCACACCCGCUGCUGCGCGCCAGCCCGCCCCGUCUGUACAAUGGGAUGCUCGGGACUCGGACGGGAGGAUCCAGUGACUGCGAGCCCCGCAUUCGCCCGAUCCCAGCCUCACACCCCCAGCCAGCCCCCAGAGACCCUCCCACACUUACGAAGGAAAUGCAUGCGGCCAGGAGGAGAAUCCGCACCAGGAGGGAGCUCUACCCAGGAAAAAGAAGAAAAGGACAGAUUCAUUUGGGGUUCAGCCUCAUGCCCCCCACACCCAAGACUUUGUGGCUAAGAGAAUCAGGCCACCUUGAGGUUCAUCAAGUUCAUCCCAUUAAAACCUCCCAAAACUCUGGAAAAAAAA
rnacentral:lncRNA from 1 species